CUUCAACGAGCCGAGACGGAGCGGGCGUUCGGCGGCCCGGUCCCGGCCGUAGGUCGCCAGCAGCGCCUGGACCUC
rnacentral:antisense_RNA from 1 species